UACGGGGGGGGCAAGCGUUGUUCGGAAUUACUGGGCGUAAAGGGUUCGUAGGUGGCUUGUUAAGUCAGACGUGAAAUCCCUCGGCUCAACCGGGGAACUGCGUCUGAGACUGAUGAGCUCGAGUGCAGGAGAGGAACGCGGAAUUCCAGGUGUAGCGGUGAAAUGCGUAGAUAUCAGGAGGAACACCGGUGGCGAAGGCGGCUUUCUGGUCUGUAACUGACGCUGAGGCGCGAAAGCGUGGGGAGCAAACAGG
rnacentral:rRNA from 1 species